GAGGAUAGGGAGGACAGUUCCAGCACUAGAGGGAAAGUUCAAAGGGUGUGGGAGACAUCCUAUUGUGGUCCUACACAGAUUCAAGCCGAGCCAAUCACGAGGACAAAAGAUAGAAGGAGUUUAAUUCGGUUUGGGCUUGGUUUGGACCCACCAGACAGACACGGAGUAAAAAUAGCAUAGCUCCUCCAUAUGAAGUCGGAUUGGGGUGAGUAAAUACUCAUUGGCCCUACUAUCAUAUUCCUUCUGAGGUGGCCACAAUCAUCGAAGCAAGGCAUCGGUUGUAACUUAGGUUUUCUGUUUUGUAACAUAGUCGAGUCCAAGUCAGCCCAAAACUAUUGUAGGGUUAUAUAUAACCAUGUACAUGACCUAAGAGGUUAGACCACAUUUAUUAUUCAUCAAAACUUUCAGCAUAUGCUGUUGUUCUCAUCUAGGGUUUAGCCUCUUGG
rnacentral:lncRNA from 1 species